AGAGUUUGAUCCUGGCUCAGGACGAACGCUGGCGGCGUGCCUAACACAUGCAAGUCGAGCGAAGUGACUCAGAGAGAAGUUUUCGGAUGGAUCGAAGAGUCAUCUUAGCGGCGGACGGGUGAGUAACGCGUGAGAAACCUGCCUUUCACAAAGGGAUAGCCUCGGGAAACUGGGAUUAAUACCUUAUGAAACUGAAUUACCGCAUGGUAGAUCAGUCAAAGCGAAUAAGCGGUGAAAGAUGGUCUCGCGUCCUAUUAGCUAGUUGGUGAGGUAACGGCUCACCAAGGCUUCGAUAGGUAGCCGGCCUGAGAGGGUGAACGGCCACACUGGAACUGAGACACGGUCCAGACUCCUACGGGAGGCAGCAGUGGGGAAUAUUGCACAAUGGAGGAAACUCUGAUGCAGCGACGCCGCGUGAAUGAUGAAGGCCUUCGGGUUGUAAAGUUCUGUCCUUGGGGAAGAUAAUGACGGUACCCAAGGAGGAAGCCCCGGCUAACUACGUGCCAGCAGCCGCGGUAAUACGUAGGGGGCGAGCGUUGUCCGGAAUUAUUGGGCGUAAAGGGUUCGCAGGCGGUCUGAUAAGUCAGAUGUGAAAGGCGUAGGCUCAACCUACGUAAGCAUUUGAAACUGUCAGACUUGAGUUAAGGAGAGGAAAGUGGAAUUCCUAGUGUAGCGGUGAAAUGCGUAGAUAUUAGGAGGAAUACCAGUGGCGAAGGCGACUUUCUGGACUUAUACUGACGCUGAGGAACGAAAGCGUGGGGAGCAAACAGGAUUAGAUACCCUGGUAGUCCACGCCGUAAACGAUGAGUGCUAGGUGUUGGGGGUCAAACCUCGGUGCCGCAGCUAACGCAUUAAGCACUCCGCCUGGGGAGUACGUACGCAAGUAUGAAACUCAAAUGAAUUGACGG
rnacentral:rRNA from 1 species